GGCUUCGUGGUUUAGUGGUAUAAUUCUCGCUUAGGGUAACACCCCAAGCACCGCAUGCGAGAGGUCCCGGGUUCGAUCCCCGGCGAAGCCC
rnacentral:tRNA from 1 species